rnacentral:rRNA from 1 species
CCAAUAGCGUAUAUUAAAGUUGUUGCAGUUAAAAAGCUCGUAGUUGAAUUUCGGGGUCAGUAGGUUGGUCGUGCCACUGGUAUGCACUGGCCUCACUGAUUCCUCCCUCUUGUAGAACCGUAAUGCCAUUAAGUUGGUGUUGCGGGGAAACAGGACUGUUACUUUGAAAAAAUUAGAGUGUUUAAAGCAGGCUAACGCUUGAAUACAUUAGCAUGGAAUAAUGAAAUAGGACGUUCGAUCCUAUUUUGUUGGUUUCUAGGAUUGACGUAAUGAUUAAUAGGGAUAGUUGGGGGCAUUAGUAUUCAAUUGUCAGAGGUGAAAUUCUUGGAUUUAUUGAAGACUAACUACUGCGAAAGCAUUUGCCAAGGAUGUUUUCAUUAAUCAAGAACGAAAGUUAGGGGAUCGAAGACGAUCAGAUACCGUCGUAGUCUUAACCAUAAACUAUGCCGACUAGGGAUCGGAUGAUGUUAAUUUUUUAAUGACUCAUUCGGCGCCUUACG